rnacentral:pre_miRNA from 1 species
AGCCUUCUGUAUCCGUGCUAAGAUUUCGUCAGCAAUCAACCCGUUGGUAUUGGCUGAUGGAGCUUCACAAAUAGGUGAAGUG